UUUUAAAAAAAAGGACAAUGGCUUUCCCUGUGUGACAUCAUUUCCCUCAUCGCCUUGGCAACCUCCUCCCCUCACUGGCAGGACCUCCUGCCUGCCUGAUGGUUUCCACUGUUGGGUUAGUGACUUACUUCCAGCACUUUUCAUCAUUCUUAACGAGUUCUAUCCCAGGUGAGGUCCUGACGCUGAAAAGAAGCUUAGCCUGUAUUUUUCACUGGUCUGGCAUCUUCACUUCAAGACUCCAAAUAUUAUCUAAAUUCCACCAUGUAUUAAUUUAUAACAUUCACUAAUUCUAGCAUUGAUGGGUGCCCUUGCACCUCCAAACGCUGUUACCUCAGAUCUGUAACAAUACAUUGCUGCCCAGAGUGGCUGGGCCAAGAAACAACAACAACAAUUUUUUAUUAUUACAUUUCUUUCUAACAUAUUAGGCAUUUGCUGUAUUAUUAUUAUUAUUAUUUGUUGUUGUUUAGUCGUUUAGUCAUUUAGUCGUGUCCAACUCUUCGUGACGCCAUGGACCAGAGCAUGCCAGGCACUCCUGUCUUCCACUGCCUCCCGCAGUUUGGUCAAACUCAUGCUGGUAUUAUUAUUAUUAUUAUUAUUACUACUACUACAGCAAACUCCUAAUAUGUUAGAAAGAAGUGUAAGUUUGCAACACCUUACUGUCAACAUUUUGACAUCCUAGAUUGUGAAAAACCUGUAGGAAUCCUGUACCAGCCAAAAGCCCCUAGAAUGGUUAUAGCAUAGGUGCUCACCUCAGCUGUCAAAAGGUCAGGUGAGCCUCACUUCACCCACCACACCUGUCUCCAUUUGCAACUGCACAAGGUUCAAAAGUCCACUGCCCUUUAGAGGUAUAAUGAUGAUGAGUUGCAUCCAGCUGAAUUUUUACUCAGAGUAGACACUAAGUGUCCCUGGACCUAAGUGAGUCACGUCCAUACCUGUCAAUAGGACUUCUCUGAGUUUGGCUAUCAUUGGAGACAACCUGAUGACUUUACUUACAAAAUGGUAACUUGGGAUCAUGUCCCCUAGAAGCAGCCACUUUGAAGAUGUCCCUGUUAGCAUAAUUAAGAUUAAAAUUGUGUGAGUGUGUAGGCAGAGGGGUGGGUCGCUAGGAUUAGCCACAGUACUAAAAUGGGAUGUUUCAGUCUGUUGGCUGAAAUUUAUUAGCUUAGGAUCUCUAACCCAGCUGCAUUCCUAUGCAAAAUUCUUGGUAAGCUGCCAGACAGUCUUCGCACAGCAGAAAAUAUUUAUCCUGGUCUAUGACCACUGGCUGUGAUAUGUAUCUUUGCUUGCAAACAUCUUGCAGGAAGAGGUCAUUGGAGGGCAACUAUAAGAAAAUGUCAUUUUGAGUUAAUUGUGUGCCUUUUGCUCCAAAGUAAUGAGGUGUCAGACGAAUCUGAAUACUUAACAUGUUGUCAGGGGUUCAGGAGCAGAGGCACAGGAAAGGGAGGAAAUAGAGAGCGAGGGGGAGGAGUCCGAAGGAAAUGUUAGCGAUGACAGCGGUCCGAGGUCUCUGAGUCUUUCCAGCGAAUCGGAAGAUUCACAGAAAGGGCUCCCUUGGUCAGAGCAAGGGGGUGCCGAGGGGACACCCCAGGAAGAAGGGGCCAGAGGGGACUCAGAGAGCAGCAGUUGGAAAUCAGGACCAGCGUCCACACCAGAGUGCAGUAGGGGAGGGGUCCCAGGCAUCGGGAUCAGGCGGCGCACUGCCAGUGGGAGGACAUGAGUCAGGAUUGGCCACGCCUCCAUCGGGGAGCGAGGAAACGGUCGAGAGGAAGGUUGAAGGCUGGGCGCGCGCCAGGUUCAAAUGUACAGGAGGGCGGCGCAGUUGGCAGCCCGGAUAGGGAGCCAGGUCCCAAAGCCCGCCGAAAAGAGGGGAGGAGUCAGGGGGUCAGCGUCAGAAGAAUCCAGGAAGGAAGGGACCCGGGGGUAGCAGGACCCAGAGGAGAAAGGAGAGACGUAAGAGGUGGAGUAAGGCUAGAAUCUUAAACUGGUGUACAGGGGCGGAGACUCAGAUGGAGCUUCGCCGAUCUAACCCCUAGACGUAGAGCUAGGGCGCUGCGGCUUGAAAAUGGAAACUGUACUUCAAUAAAGACUUUUGUACAUUACUGCCGGCUAGCGUUGGUCCUCUGUGAGCUGGGACCUGGAGCCAGCUCUGACACAUGUGAAAACAAAUGUGAGCAGCACCAAUAUGGCAAGUUAACAUUAAACAGGGUGGGAUUUCAGUCCUUUAGGGAGGCAGUGGGCAAUCCCACCCUGUUACUGUAUAAAAUCCAAAUAAACAGAUGCAUUAAUGUUCAUAAAAUGUUAUUGCAAUCAUUAAAGCAGUCAUACUCAAAGAGUCUGCAAAAUUAUCAGCCAGAAGAGUACACAAGGGACUUAUCUUGUGUAGCUCUCACAAAUUUCAAGGAAGUUUGCAUGGAGAAGGUCUCUAUGGGUUGUACCUAACUGUUCUGAACAACUCAGUGGUAGAGCAUCAGAUUUGCAUGUAGAAGGUCCCAGAUUCAGUCCUUGGCUUCUUCAGGUAGGGUUGGGAAUGAUUCCUUGCCUGAAGCCCUGGAGAGCUGCUGCCAAUCAGUGCAGACUGUACUGAACUAGAUGGACCAUUGAUCUGGCUUGAUCUAAGGCGGCUUCCCAUGUUCCUAGAGAGGAGCCAUGUGAAUAUACAAGCCGGGUUCUAUGUUUGUAUCUCUUGCUAGAUAAGAGCCUCCAGAUGCAAGCAUAGAAUCAUAAGACUUUGAGGUGCUAUUGGACGUCCCACCUUUCAAUCCCCUACUCAGUGUAGGAGAUCCAGACCUGGCAUAUCCUCAACCGAUGUAUGUCUGACCUCUGCUUGAAGACCUGGAGAGAGGAAGAGCUCAACACCCCACCAUGUAAUUGGUUCCAUUAUCAAACUGUUCUUACCAUUGAGAUGUUUUUCCUCAUGCUCAACCAAAAACUAUCUUCCUGUAACUUAAGUCCAUUAGAUCUGGGGCAGCAGAGUCCUUGCCCUCUUCUCUGUUACAACCUUGCCUGUAAGUGACAAGGGCCCUCUGUUUUCUCUUCUUCAAGAUGAACACUCUUAGUUCCUUCAGCCUUUCCUCAUAGCACUUGCUUUCCCUUGACUCUCAUCAGUGGCCUCCUCUGAGCAAAUUUCCCAACAACCUGCGGAAAAUGUGGUGCCCAGAACUGGGCUAGUUCAGAUGAGUUCUGACUAGUGUAGGAUAAUGGGGUUGGUUAGUUCUCACGACUUCAAAACUAUGGUUCUAUUAAUCAUGCAACCUAAAAUCACAUUCAAAUUUUCUGCAGCUGCACCACUUGUGUUCAGCUUAGGUUCAACUACUAUUCCAAGAUCUGUUUCAAAACCUGUACUGUGCAGUUCAGCUUGUUUUCAGCUCAUUUUCAAUUUGUAUAACAUUCUGCAUUACAGUACUCAAGGUGCUUUACUACUCAAAUAUACAACAGAAGUCACAUUAUCAUCCUAUAUAACAACUCCAAGUAUAACAAAAUUCAGGAAUCCAUUUCACAUAUAGUACUGCAAUACUAGAUAAUAUCAACAACUUAACAGCUAAACAAUAACAAAGAAAUGCAGGUUAAAUAACGGCAAACAAUUUGCAAAUAGCCAUGGGAUUGUACAGAAUGCCCAGUGCAUUCUUAUUUUUAAGAAAUUGCCUACAUCCAUAACUUUGCAUUUGCCUCUGAUGAAUUUCAUUUUUUUUCCCUGUUUCAAUCAAGUUUUCAGUUAUGUCAAGGUUAUUUUGAUUGUUUUCCUGUGUGUUAGGUAUCUCUCCUAGUUUUGUGUCAUUCACAGAUUUGAUAAAGAUUCCCUCCCUAUGUCCGUCUAAGUCUUUGAUAAGAAUUUGAAGAGUACCAGACCCAAUACCAGAGCCCUGGGACACUCCACUAAAAUCCUCCCCUCCAAUCUUAUGAGAAGCCAUUUAUGAGCACUCUUGAAGUAUGUUUUUCCAGCCAGCUGUUUAUUAUCUAGCCAUUAGUAUUACUAGCCAUAUCUAGUAUUAUUAUCUAGCCCAUAAUUAACCAGGGUGCUAACUAAAAUAUCAUGGGAAACUCUGUCAGAUGCUUUGCUGAAAUCAAGAUAAAUUGUAUAGCAUUCCUACAGUCUACUAAGCUAGUAUAUACUGAAUGGAUGAGAAUGAUUAAUCUGGCAAGAUUUGUUCGGGACAAAUCCAUGCCAUCUUGUACCACUCCCUGCAUAAUCCUGGGGUGUGGUCUGAGGGCACAUAAUGCAGCCAACUUGCUGAAGCUAAGCAGAUCCCGGGGCUGGCCAGUGUCUGGUUGGGAGACCUGAUGUAUUCCCCCUUGGAUUGCGAAGAUGGAAGGAAGGUGAGGAUGAAAUGCAGCGUAAAGAUUCCUACAAAUGGAUUUACAAUCUGUUCUACCAGUCUGUAAGCAGGUGUUGCAUGUAUGUUCUUACAAGCCAGCUUUCAGAGCUGUGUAAUAGUAAUAUUAUAAUAAUAAUUGAUUAUUUAUACCCCGCCCAUCUGGCUGGGUUUCCCCAGCCACUAUGGGCGGCUCCCAACAGAAAAUUAAAAGCACAAUAAAACGUCAAACAUUUAAAACUUCCCUAAACAAGGCUGCCCUCAGAUGUCUUCUAAAAGUCAGAUAGUUGUUUAUUUCCUUGACUUCUGAUGGAAGGGCGUUCCACAGGGCAGGCACCACUACCAAGAAGGCCCUCUGCCUUGUUCCCUGUAUCCUCACUUCUCUCAUGGAGGGAACCGCCAGAAGGCCCUCGGAGCUGGACUUCAGUAUCUGGACUGAACAAUGGGGGUGGAGACGCUCCUUCAGGUAUACUGGGCCAAGGCUGUAUACAUAGCCAUGUGUACAUAGCCGUCACCAUAAAAUCUGUGUUUGAGCCAGAUGGGGUCUGCACCGUUCCACCUGGAAUACCAGCGCUAUAACCAGAUCAGGCAUCUUCUGCUCCCAAACACCACUAAUCUGGCCCAUCCAUUCAAGGUUCUCCUAAACUCAAGGACACUAAUCACCCUUAUUAUGUUUAAGUGAUCUUGUCGGGCAGGGUGAUGGUGAAUGAGAGAGCCCCUUUACCUAUCUUUAUCUUUAUCUUUAUUUUCUUGGAUCACUUAAGAGAAUCACUUGGUAGAUGAAGGGAACGCAGUGGAUGUAGCCUACCUUGAUUUCAGCAAGGCAUUUGACAAGGUGCCCCAUGAUAUUCUUGUAAAGAAGCUGGUAAAAUGCGGUCUUGACUAUGCUACCACUCAGUGGAUUUGUAACUGGCUGACUGACCAAACCCAAAAGGUGCUCAUCAAUGGUUCCUCUUCAUCCUGGAGAAGAGUGAUUAGUGGAGUGCCAGAGGGUUCUGUCUUGGGCCCGGUCUUAUUCAACAUCUUUAUCAAUGACUUGGAUGAUGGUCUCAAGGGCAUCCUGAUCAAAUUUGCAGAUGACACCAAAUUGGGAGGGGUGGCCAACACCCCAGAGGACAGGAUCACACUUCAAAACAACCUUGACAGAUUAGAGAACUGGGCCAAAACAAACAAGAUGAAUUUUAACAGGGAGAAAUGUAAAGUAUUGCACUUGGGCAAAAAAAUGAGAGGCACAAAUACAAGAUGGGGGACACCUGGCUUGAGAGCAGUACAUGUGAAAAGGAUCUAGGAGUCUUGGUUGACCACAAACUUGACAUGAGCCAACAGUGUGACGCGGCAGCUAAAAAGCCAAUGCAACUCUGGGCUGCAUCAAUAGGAGUAUAGCAUCUAGAUCAAGGGAAGUAAUAGUGCCACUGUAUUCUGCUCUGGUCAGACCUCACCUGGAGUACUGUGUCCAGUUCUGGGCACCACAGUUCAAGAAGGACACUGACAAACUGGAACGUGUCCAGAGGAGGGCAACCAAAAUGGUCAAAGGCCUGGAAACGAUGCCUUAUGAGGAACGGCUAAGGGAGCUGGGCAUGUUUAGCCUGGAGAAGAGGAGGUUAAGGGGUGAUAUGAUAGCCAUGUUCAAAUAUAUAAAAGGAUGUCACACAGAGGAGGGAGAAAGGUUGUUUUCUGCUGCUCCGGAGAAGCGGACACGGAGCAAUGGAUCCAAAGUACAAGAAAGAAGAUUCCACCUAAACAUUAGGAAGAACUUCCUGACAGUAAGAGCUGUUCGACAGUGGAAUUUGCUGCCAAGGAGUGUGGUGGAGUCUCCUUCUUUGGAGGUCUUUAAGCAGAGGCUUGACAACCAUAUGUCAGGAGUGCUCUGAUGGUGUUUCCUGCUUGGCAGAGGGUUGGACUCGCUGGCCCUUGUGGUCUCUUCCAACUCUAUGAUUCUAUGAUAUGAUUCUAUGAUUAUGACUUAAUACAUGUGCUUUACUCCUAAAUAGGAAUAGGGACGUGUGUGGAAUAGGAAUGGAACAUGGGGGGGGAACAACUUGUAGGGCUGACUCUAUGAACAGCAGUAGAUAAAACAAAAGGAAUAUGAAUGGAAGGAGAACAGAAUAAAUAAUAAAGGGAAAUGCAGCAAGCCAACAGAAGAUACAAUAGGAUGUCAAGGAAAGCUAGGUUGGGAAGUUUAUACAGAGACCAUGAUAGGAUGAAAAAUGUAUAUGAAAAAAUGCAUAAAUAAAUUUUAAAAAGAAUGUAUUAUAGGAAGUUUCCUUAUAUCAAGUUAAUGCCAUUGGUCCCAUGUAACUUAAGCAUCAUCUAAAUUGACUCAGACCUGCUCUCUAUGUCUUCAGACAUGGACAUUUCCCAGCCUUACCUGAAGAUGACAGAUAUUGAACCUGAGACCUUCUGUAAUAUACAAAAUACGCACUGAGGUCCAGUCCUCCCAUGGUUUGUUGUUAUGUCUGAACCAGGUCAUUGUGUGACUUGGGAUGGUUUUGUACCCUGCAAGAACAGCAAGAUGCAAAUGUGUGCUCAUGGCUCUGCUUUCCACCACCCAGUGCUUUUUUUCUGGGGGGACGCAGGGGUACGCAUACCCCUAAACAUUUUGCGAAUCUUUGUACUUUUGUCCAUUUACUCUAUUUAUUUUCCCCGAUUUGAACUAUAAAAUGGUGAUUUUCUUGAGUCAAAAUGAGAGUACCCCUAAACUUUUUUUUUUUUAGAAAAACAGCACUGCCACCACCUGUUGUGUUACAUGGAAAGCGAGGGAGGACUUGCAGAUCUCCCUUGGGGUUAAUGCACAUCUGCUCCACAUGAACCUGGAUGUCGUGUCUCUUCCUGCUGUGUUGUUGAUGAGAUCUCUCUUUUUUUGCAUAUUACAGGAAGCAACGAAAAGCAGAAAUGCAGGUACAUUUCUUCUCCCCAUACACUUGCUUCUGUGAAAGUGUGUUUCCAUAGGGCACUGUCCGGGGGCCAUGGAGAAGCAAAUGCUCUAAAUCAGCCUUUCUCAACCUGUGGGUCCCCAGAUGUUGUUAAACUACAACUCCCACCACCGCUAGCUAGCAAGGCCAGAGCUCAGGGAUGAUGGGAGUUGUAGUCCAACAACAUCUGGGGACCCACAGGUUGAGAACCACUGCUCUAAAUCAUACAUAGGUGGGAGGUGCAAUUUUCCCCACCCCAUCAUCCACCUUUACAUCAUAAUUUUUAGUGAGCAUUUGUAGCAUCUCCAUCAGACUGUUUAUUUAGCAUUCAGUCUGGCUUGCUUCCACAAAGCUUUUGGGGUUGUUAGACUAUGGGUUGGAGCCAAUGAAAUCGUCCACCUGCUCAACUGGACUUCCUCUCCCCCGUGUGGGUUGGGGAGAAUCCAGAACAAAUUGGGGAGUGGGAGGUGGGGGCAUGGAAAGAGGAAGCCCCAUUGUGCAGGCGGAUGUCAAUGCGCCAACAGGACAACUUCACUGGACAGAGUCUUUCUGGAGCAGUCAUUCCCCUUUUUUUUGCAGGGUGGUUCUAUGACCAUGAUCAUUCAUCCUGAUUUGUUCAUGGGGUGUUUAUACACUUUCCAGUUAUUCAUCCAUUCAUCCCACACUUUUCAAUGCAUAUUCCUGUUGAAAGCUUGAAUCUGCUUUCAUUGCACAAACCUGACGUGACGGUAUGCACUAGAAUCCCUCUCAUGAGUACUGUCUGUCUGGAGGUAUCCGAGCAGUUGCAACUUUUGGAAUGACUUUCCUAAUAACAAUUAGUAUCAACAUUAGCAUUUUUAUAUAGCAAUAAGGUGGUCAAAGCAUUUCAUGUGCACUUUCUUUCUGUAAUCUGCACAGCAGCCCUGAAAGAUACAUCAAUAUUAUUACGCACAUAUUGCAGCUAAGGCAAUACGUAUAGGCUACACACAAGUGUAACCCCUGGGGUGGUCUCCCACUGUCUUUCAGAAAGAAACACUACUUUGAGGGUGGUAAGAGCAAACAAACAUUUCUUUUUUUAAAAAAACUACAUAGAAACACACAAACAUAUUUAAAUACAUAUUUUUAAAUGUGUUUUCUCUCGAAAUAUGCAUUUAAAAAUGUAUUUUGAUACAUCUUUCAAGCUGUGAGCUGCAUCAGAAUAUUGGGGAACCCUGAAAACCAACAGACGAACAAGGCCUGAUCAGGACAUCCAGAUCUAGUCAGCUUGUACCAUAAUUCACGAAGUCUGAAUUCCUCAAACCUCUCUCCCUCCCAGCUGAAUGCUGUUGAAAGCGAUUGGUCGGUGGAUCAGAAAAUCCAGCCAUGCUGCGUGACUUGUAAUUGCUGUUUCAUAUGAUGUUGCGCUCGCUGAGCGAUGAACACCCAUGAAUGUCUGGCCCCUCCCUAUCCCUACUUGCACAAGUCUUUGUUCCUGGUGACACAGAAAUCCCCUCGCAGAACGCAUAGGAGGGGUGGGGACUCAUGUAAAGGAGAGAUCACUUUGAGGCUACAGUGAAU